AAACUACUUCCUCCGUUUCAAAAUUCUUGUCUUAGAUUUAUUUAGAUAUGAACGUAUCUAGUCAAGUUUUAGUAUUUAGAUACAUCCAUUUCAAGACAAAGCUAAGACAAGAAUUUUAGAACGGAGGGAGUAUGAU
rnacentral:pre_miRNA from 1 species